rnacentral:rRNA from 1 species
UUAGAGUUUGAUCCUGGCUCAGAUUGAACGCUGGCGGCAGGCUUAACACAUGCAAGUCGAGCGGUAACAGGAAUUAGCUUGCUAAUUUGCUGACGAGCGGCGGACGGGUGAGUAACGCGUAGGAAUCUGCCUGGUAGUGGGGGACAACAUGUGGAAACGCAUGCUAAUACCGCAUACGCCCUACGGGGGAAAGGAGGGGAUCUUCGGACCUUUCGCUAUCAGAUGAGCCUGCGUGAGAUUAGCUAGUUGGUGGGGUAAAGGCUCACCAAGGCGACGAUCUCUAGCUGGUCUGAGAGGAUGAUCAGCCACACUGGGACUGAGACACGGCCCAGACUCCUACGGGAGGCAGCAGUGGGGAAUAUUGGACAAUGGGCGCAAGCCUGAUCCAGCCAUGCCGCGUGUGUGAAGAAGGCCUUCGGGUUGUAAAGCACUUUCAGUGGUGAGGAAGGGUGUGUAGUUAAUACCUACAUAUCUUGACGUUAGCCACAGAAGAAGCACCGGCUAACUCUGUGCCAGCAGCCGCGAAUCUACAGGCACACGCUAGGGCCAUUCCGG